rnacentral:rRNA from 1 species
AAAAUUAGAGUGUUCAAAGCAGGCAGAUCCAAUUUUCUGCCACCGAAUACAUUAGCAUGGGAUAAUGGAAUAGGACCCUGUCCUCCUAUUUUCAGUUGGUUUUGGCAGCGCGAGGACUAGGGUAAUGAUUAAUAGGGAUAGUUGGGGGCAUUAAUAUUUAAUUGUCAGAGGUGAAAUUCUUGGAUUUAUGAAAGAUUAACUUCUGCGAAAGCAUCUGCCAAGGAUGUUUUCAUUAAUCAAGAACGAAAGUUAGGGGAUCGAAGACGAUCAGAUACCGUCGUAGUCUUAACCAUAAACGAUGCCGACCAGCGAUUAGGAGACGUUGAAUACAAAACACCACCAUCGGUGCGGUCGUCCUUGGCGUCGGUCUUUCGGGGCCGGCGCGGGGGCGGCUUAG